AACGAGAUCAUCAACAGGCUGAAUAAAACCCGGGUAGAACGCCGGGCGCCAGACUUGAAAGGUGCUUAAUUACUAACACACAGAUACGCUGAUCUGCCCAUGCACGUACGCCGUGCAUAUCAUGCUUAAUUAUUAUCAGUUGAUUAAUAAUCUUUCUCCCCUCGCGCUCGUGUGCAGCCGAGAAAGAGGCAUCAAAUGCAGCAGAAAAGGCCGAGAGGAAGAUGCAGCUGAAAGAGAAGAUAUACUCAGUUAACAUUGCUGACAGCGCGGCCAUGCAUCUAACGACGGUCAUCACUGAUUGGAUUGGCAGAAACGGAAGGAGGAGAUGGAAAGGCUGGAGAAGGAGAAAUGGGCGGAGAUACGGAGCUACAAGGGCCUCAUGGUGGCCGAGAAGAUGACGUCCAACAGCCAGAUUUUAAAAAAAUGAGUUAUUUAAAAGAUAAAAAAAUCUAGAUGAGUGUAGGGCUCGAACCCCCAAACCUCGUGGUUUAAAACCUUG
rnacentral:lncRNA from 1 species